rnacentral:lncRNA from 1 species
UGGUCGUUUCCUCUCUGAAGAGCUCGAGGAGAGCGAGUAACUCCAGCACUCUCUACAUGCCAUGUGCAGCAAUACCUUCUGCUCCAUCUCUCCUCAUCGGCAUUAAUGGCCACAGUGCUCUGAUUUUACUCUGACUUCUAAUAACUCCUUAUCGAGGAUUUUUCUUUCGGACAAUAAACAAUUAACAAUAAAACAGGACAUCACGACCCGCUCAACAAUUUCAGUCACCUUGUUUGCGCCUUGUGGAAACAAACUUGGGGCACUUUCUCAAGACUGUGUUUAUCAGUGGGAAUAUUAAGGACGAGUGUUUGAAUUUAACUCCUCAAGACUUCCAAAGACAUCCAAAGAAGGCUGAACAGGUAAAGUUGAUACACAGUGAUCGAGAAUGAAUCAGACCGCAGGAGUCACAAACACUUACAGAAGAUGCUCAAAAGGAGGCAAAGGCACGACACGGAAGGUCAGCGCUACUGACUCUUCUAAAUUACCCCAGCUCUACUUUCAAACUACUCCUGAAGAACCCCACAAGAAGUUACACAUGAGCCGGUUAAUCAGCAGUGCAGAGAUAGCCAUCAAUUCUAAGCGCUCAUAUGACUGGAAUCCUAAUGUUGACUGCUCAAAUGUUGGAGUGCUUUAUCUUUCUGUGCAUCACACGUGCGUAAAAGUGCAAGUGCUAUGAAUUGAGUAAUUUGUGUUUUGAUUAAAUAUUUUAUUAAUGAAAGCACUUGAAAAAUAAAAACUGAUGUAACGUGCCC